AAAGUAUCGGUAGGGGAGCAUACUCACAGCGUCGAAUGGUGUACGUAAGUUAUCCUGGAGCGGUGAGUAAAGCAAAUGUAGGAAUAAGUAACGAUAAGGAGGGUUAGAUUCCCUCCCGCUGUAAGACCAAGGUUUCCCGGGCAAUGCCAAUCAGCCCGGGGUCAGUCGGGUCCUAAGUCUAAGCCGAACGGCGAUGGCGAUUGCAGAGACGGUUAAUAUUCCGUCACUGCCGCAUGGGGCGACGUGGAGACGGAGCAGUGAAACCACCGCGGGGCGACGGAAGUCCCCGUUGAAGAGUGUAGGCGUUGAGGAUGGCAGGCAAAUCCACCGUCCGAGCUGAACUUGAUAGUAUGGAGUCUUCUUCGGAAGAAUCCAAUAGUGUGGGUAAUCAUACUCCCGAGAAAAUCCGCUAAGCUUAACCCAUGCGGCACCCGUACCGCAAACGGACACACGUGGUCGGGUAGAACAUACUGAGGCGUUGAGAGAUUCAUGGUUAAGGAACUAGGCAAAUUGACCCUGUAACUUCGGGAUAAAGGGUCCUCGUGAAGAGCGAGGCGCAGAGAAUAGGUCCAGGCAACUGUUUAACAAAAACACAGGGCUGUGCAAACUCGAAAGAUGACGUAUACAGCCUGACACCUGCCCGGUGCCGGAAGGUUAAGAGGAGAUGUCACACUUAUGUGGAAGCAUUGAAUUGAAGCCCCGGUAAACGGCGGCCGUAACAAUAACGGUCCUAAGGUAGCGAAAUUCCUUGUCGGGUAAGUUCCGACCUGCACGAAUGGUGUAAUGAUCCGGACGCUGUCUCAACCAUGAGCUCAGUGAAAUUGUAGUAUCGGUGAAGAUGCCGAUUACCCGCGAUGGGACGAAAAGACCCCGUGAACCUUUACUACAGCUUAGCAUUGACCUUGGUCAUCCGAUGUGUAGGAUAGGCCGGAGGCUUCGAAGCGGGAGCGCCAGCUUUCGUGGAGCCAUCCUUGAAAUACGGCCCUUUGGCUGUCUGAGGUCUAACGCGUGAUACGCGGACACUGCUUGGUGGGUAGUUUGACUGGGGUGGUCGCCUCCAAAAGCGUAACGGAGGCUUCCAAAGGUGCCCUCGGGUCGAUUGGUAACCGACCUCAAAGAGUGCAAUGGCAUAAGGGCGCUUGACUGGGAGGCAGACAUGCCGAGCAGGCAGGAAACUGGGGUAUAGUGAUCCGGCGGAUGUGUAUGGAAACUCCGUCGCUCAAAGGAUAAAAGGUACUCCGGGGAUAACAGGCUGAUCCCCCCCAAGAGCUCAUAUCGACGGGGUGGUUUGGCACCUCGAUGUCGGCUCGUCACAUCCUGGGGCUGGAGAAGGUCCCAAGGGUUGGGCUGUUCGCCCAUUAAAGUGGCACGCGAGCUGGGUUCAGAACGUCGUGAGACGGUUCGGUCUCUAUCUAUCGUGGGCGUGGGAGUUUUGAGUGGUGCCGUCACUAGUACGAGAGGACCGUGAUGGACAGACCUCCGGUUUACCAGUUGUGCCGCCAGGCGCACCGCUGGGUAUCUGAGUCUGGAUUGGAUAAGCGCUGAAAGCAUCUAAGUGCGAAGCCAGCCGCAAGAUGAGAACUCCAUUGAGGGUCGUCAGAGACGAUGACGUUGAUAGGAUGCAGGUGUAAAGACAGCGAUGUCAAAGCCGAGCAUUACUAAUUGCCC
rnacentral:rRNA from 1 species